GCAGGUUGAAGGUUGGGUAACACUAACUGGAGGACCGAACCGACUAAUGUUGAAAAAUUAGCGGAUGACCUGUGGCUGGGGGUGAAAGGCCAAUCAAACCGGGAGAUAGCUGGUUCUCCCCGAAAGCUAUUUAGGUAGCGCCUCGUGAAUUCAUCUCCGGGGGUAGAGCACUGUUUCGGCUAGGGGGCCAUCCCGGCUUACCAACCCGAUGCAAACUGCGAAUACCGGAGAAUGUUAUCACGGGAGACACACGGCGGGUGCUAACGUCCGUCGUGAAGAGGGAAACAACCCAGACCGCCAGCUAAGGUCCCAAAGUCAUGGUUAAGUGGGAAACGAUGUGGGAAGGCCCAGACAGCCAGGAUGUUGGCUUAGAAGCAGCCAUCAUUUAAAGAAAGCGUAAUAGCUCACUGGUCGAGUCGGCCUGCGCGGAAGAUGUAACGGGGCUAAACCAUGCACCGAAGCUGCGGCAGCGACACUGUGUGUUGUUGGGUAGGGGAGCGUUCUGUAAGCCUGUGAAGGUGUGUGAGGGUUGCUGGAGGUAUCAGAAGUGCGAAUGCUGACAUAAGUAACGAUAAAGCGGGUGAAAAGCCCGCUCGCCGGAAGACCAAGGGUUCCUGUCCAACGUUAAUCGGGGCAGGGUGAGUCGACCCCUAAGGCGAGGCCGAAAGGCGUAGUCGAUGGGAAACGGGUUAAUAUUCCCGUACUUGGUGUUACUGCGAAGGGGGGACGGAGAAGGCUAUGUUGGCCGGGCGACGGUUGUCCCGGUUUAAGCGUGUAGGUGUGUGUUCCAGGUAAAUCCGGUUCACUUUAACACUGAGGCGUGACGACGAGGCACUACGGUGCUGAAGCAACAAAUGCCCUGCUUCCAGGAAAAGCCUCUAAGCAUCAGGUAACAUCAAAUCGUACCCCAAACCGACACAGGUGGUCAGGUAGAGAAUACCAAGGCGCUUGAGAGAACUCGGGUGAAGGAACUAGGCAAAAUGGUGCCGUAACUUCGGGAGAAGGCACGCUGACACGUAGGUGAAGUGAUUUACUCAUGGAGCUGAAGUCAGUCGAAGAUACCAGCUGGCUGCAACUGUUUAUUAAAAACACAGCACUGUGCAAACACGAAAGUGGACGUAUACGGUGUGACGCCUGCCCGGUGCCGGAAGGUUAAUUGAUGGGGUCAGCGCAAGCGAAGCUCCUGAUCGAAGCCCCGGUAAACGGCGGCCGUAACUAUAACGGUCCUAAGGUAGCGAAAUUCCUUGUCGGGUAAGUUCCGACCUGCACGAAUGGCGUAAUGAUGGCCAGGCUGUCUCCACCCGAGACUCAGUGAAAUUGAACUCGCUGUGAAGAUGCAGUGUACCCGCGGCAAGACGGAAAGACCCCGUGAACCUUUACUAUAGCUUGACACUGAACAUUGAGCCUUGAUGUGUAGGAUAGGUGGGAGGCUUUGAAGUGUGGACGCCAGUCUGCAUGGAGCCGACCUUGAAAUACCACCCUUUAAUGUUUGAUGUUCUAACGUGGACCCGUUACCCGGGUUGCGGACAGUGUCUGGUGGGUAGUUUGACUGGGGCGGUCUCCUCCUAAAGAGUAACGGAGGAGCACGAAGGUUGGCUAAUCCUGGUCGGACAUCAGGAGGUUAGUGCAAUGGCAUAAGCCAGCUUGACUGCGAGCGUGACGGCGCGAGCAGGUGCGAAAGCAGGUCAUAGUGAUCCGGUGGUUCUGAAUGGAAGGGCCAUCGCUCAACGGAUAAAAGGUACUCCGGGGAUAACAGGCUGAUACCGCCCAAGAGUUCAUAUCGACGGCGGUGUUUGGCACCUCGAUGUCGGCUCAUCACAUCCUGGGGCUGAAGUAGGUCCCAAGGGUAUGGCUGUUCGCCAUUUAAAGUGGUACGCGAGCUGGGUUUAGAACGUCGUGAGACAGUUCGGUCCCUAUCUGCCGUGGGCGCUGGAGAACUGAGGGGGGCUGCUCCUAGUACGAGAGGACCGGAGUGGACGCAUCACUGGUGUUCGGGUUGUCAUGCCAAUGGCACUGCCCGGUAGCUAAAUGCGGAAGAGAUAAGUGCUGAAAGCAUCUAAGCACGAAACUUGCCCCGAGAUGAGUUCUCCCUGAGACUUAGAGUCUCCUGAAGGAACGUUGAAGACGACGACGUUGAUAGGCCGGGUGUGUAAGCGCAGCGAUGCGUUGAGCUAACCGGUACUAAUGAACCGUGAGGCUUAACCUU
rnacentral:rRNA from 1 species